UGCGGGUGAGGAUGCUGGAAUGAGUGGUGUAGCGGUGAAAUGCAUAGAUAUCACUCAGAACACCGAUUGCGAAGGCAGGCAUCUGGUCCGCUAUUGACGCUGAGGCACGAAAGUGUGGGAGCAAACAGGAUUAGAUACCCUGGUAGUCCACACCGUAAACGUUGGUUACUAGAUGUUCGGCUGCAAGGCUGAGUGUCCAAGCGCAAGCGAUAAGUAACCCACCUGGGGAGUACGUUCGCAAGAAUGAAACUCAAAGGAAUUGACGGGGGCCCGCACAAGCGGUGGAGCAUGUGGUUUAAUUCGAUGGUACGCGAGGAACCUUACCUGGGCUAGAAUGCCUUUGACCGCCGGUGAAAGCUGGUUUUCCUUCGGGACAAAGUGCAAGGUGCUGCAUGGUUGUCGUCAGCUCGUGCCGUGAGGUGUUGGGUUAAGUCCCGCAACGAGCGCAACCCCUAUCGUUAGUUGCCAUCAUUUAGUUGGGGACUCUAGCGAGACUGCCUGCGCAAGCAGUGAGGAAGGUGGGGACGACGUCAAAUCAUCAUGGCCCUUACGCCCAGGGCUACACACGUGCUACAAUGGCCGGUACAGAGGGUUGCAAGCUAGCGAUAGCAAGCCAAUCUCAAAAAGCCGGUCUCAGUUCGGAUUGGAGGCUGCAACUCGCCUCCAUGAAGUUGGAAUCGCUAGUAAUCGUAGAUCAGCAUGCUACGGUGAAUACGUUCCCGGGCCUUGUACACACCGCCCGUCAAGCCAUGAAAGCUGGGGGCGCCUGAAGUCGGGGAUAACCCGCCUAGGGUGAAACUGGUAAUUAGGGCUAAGUCGUAACAAGGUAACC
rnacentral:rRNA from 1 species